rnacentral:rRNA from 1 species
AUUGAACGCUGGCGGCAUGCCUAACACAUGCAAGUCGAACGCCCCGCAAGGGGAGUGGCAGACGGGUGAGUAACGCGUGGGAAUCUACCGUACCCUACGGAAUAACGCAUGGAAACGUGUGCUAAUACCGUAUACGCCCUUAGGGGGAAAGAUUUAUCGGGGUAUGAUGAGCCCGCGUUGGAUUAGCUAGUUGGUGGGGUAAAGGCCUACCAAGGCGACGAUCCAUAGCUGGUCUGAGAGGAUGAUCAGCCACAUUGGGACUGAGACACGGCCCAAACUCCUACGGGAGGCAGCAGUGGGGAAUAUUGGACAAUGGGCGCAAGCCUGAUCCAGCCAUGCCGCGUGAGUGAUGAAGGUCUUAGGAUUGUAAAGCUCUUUCACCGAUGAAGAUAAUGACGGUAGUCGGAGAAGAAGCCCCGGCUAACUUCGUGCCAGCAGCCGCGGUAACAC